GGGGAUAACACUUGGAAACAGGUGCUAAUACCGUAUAACAAUAGAAACCGCAUGGUUUCUAUUUGAAAGGCGCUUCUGCGUCACUGAUGGAUGGACCCGCGGUGCAUUAGCUAGUUGGUGAGGUAACGGCUCACCAAGGCAACGAUGCAUAGCCGACCUGAGAGGGUGAUCGGCCACAUUGGGACUGAGACACGGCCCAAACUCCUACGGGAGGCAGCAGUAGGGAAUCUUCGGCAAUGGACGAAAGUCUGACCGAGCAACGCCGCGUGAGUGAAGAAGGUUUUCGGAUCGUAAAACUCUGUUGUUAGAGAAGAACAAGGAUGAGAGUAGAAUGUUCAUCCCUUGACGGUAUCUAACCAGAAAGCCACGGCUAACUACGUGCCAGCAGCCGCGGUAAUACGUAGGUGGCAAGCGUUGUCCGGAUUUAUUGGGCGUAAAGCGAGCGCAGGCGGUUUCUUAAGUCUGAUGUGAAAGCCCCCGGCUCAACCGGGGAGGGUCAUUGGAAACUGGGAAACUUGAGUGCAGAAGAGGAGAGUGGAAUUCCAUGUGUAGCGGUGAAAUGCGUAGAUAUAUGGAGGAACACCAGUGGCGAAGGCGGC
rnacentral:rRNA from 1 species